AGCAUUAGGAAGGUUGAGAACCCCUUCUCUAGAAAGACCCUGGCAGAAGACAUAGCCUGGGUAUGUUUAUUUAGGUCAAUUCAUUCUGUCUUGACAUUUUUCCCACUACCUCUCCAAGCCCUUAAGGAAUGAUAUCAGACCUGGACCCUUGUCUUUAUGACCCAGACAUUCGCUUUUGCCAAUAACCUCUUCUUACCUCCUCCAGCCUUGGUGGCCUUAAGGUGGAUUUGAGAGCAGAUUGGUCCAUGGGUGGCCAGGAUGGGGCAACGUCCGAUACCAAAUAGAAACUGAUCCCAUUAACCAGAGCUCCUGAUGAUGGAUAGUUCUGCUAUGUUCCUGAGAAUGCUCUACCAACGAGGGAGAAGAAGCUUGAAGCCAGCUGUCAGUUUAAGGAGAUCUAGGAAACAGGAAGCACAGGCAUGCACCCAACAGGUUUUGUUCCACCAGAUAAAGAAACUAAGGCUGGGGGGAUGAGAAAACCUACUGAUGAUUACCCAACCAGCAAGUACAUAGCCAGCGACAAAGUCAGAAUGGACAGUUAGCUUUGGACUUC